UUUGAACACAUCGUACCUCCUUCACUUCUCACAGAGAUGAGAGGAGCAGCUAUGAGUCUAACUGCAGCAGCGAGUGGAUUAGUCGUCUUCCUGCUCUCUGUGUCAGUGGUUCAGGGAGGGCAUGGCUGGGGAGUGACUUAUUCUUCUACUAAGAUAUGUGCAGUGAAAGGAUCAACAGUGGAGAUAAGAUGCAGCUUCACAUACCCAUCCACAUGGAGAGGCAGUGUUAACACAGUAGAGAAAACAUUCUGGUUCACUAAAUGGAGUAAGCCUGAACCUGUAGAUCUGACCACAGUCUCAGAGUAUUCAGGUCGUGUAGAGGAUCUCUGUGAAAACAACACCUGCACUCUGAGAAUCAGAAACCUGACAGAG